AACACAUGGCCUGCCUUUAUCCUUGCUAAGCACCAGUCAGGGGCCUAAGCAGUUCUGAGGAUACAAUUUUCUACACCACUCGAUCCCCUGGAACAAAGCUUGAGACUCAGCGAUACCAUCGACCCCACCAAGGGGCAUGCUGCGCUACAGCCCGGAGCUCCACUUUGAGAAAGACCACAUCAUCCUAGAGGUGAAUUGGAAGCUCUGCGGGGGACUUGCCUCUCUAAUCCCAGGAGUGACCUGAAGUGAAGGUCUGGGAGAGGCAGCUUUCCCUGGGGUACAGCUGCCUGGGCCUGAAGAUGCUUAGACCCCAAGAGAAUCCAGCCAGCUGUGCACUUCCACCCAAGCAGCCUCAGAGGAAGCCAUGGUGCACAUGCCAUAUUGGGUACUUCUUUUAAUUUCUCACCGUGUGUACCUUGAAAUUAGAAAUGACCACUCUCUCAAAAUUGCUGUUGGCUUCAACAGACAAAUUCACAAAGACAGUAAGGGGUUAAUUUUUCUCCUGCAAAAAGAAGCUCCAGACCAGAUAGAUGCCUUGCACUCCUGCGCUGCCACCUCGGUGACGAUCUGCCAUCCUCAUGGUCACCUGGCAGCCUCUAUGGCUCCCAGCUUCAGUUCUUAGGAGGCAGAGAGCGAGGUGAAAAGUGCAAGAGCCAGAUGAAUCUGAACCUCUCCCCACGACCUUCCCCGGUAGUUCUAUCCAGUGACUUCCAUUUACAUCUCACUGUCUAGAACUGUUCCAUUCGCCCACGUGCAAAGAAGGGCUGAGAAAUAACUGGACUCACUGUCACCCAAAAGAGUCAGGGCUGUAUUAUUAAGAAAAACGGAGAGGGGGUAUCAGGCAGACAACCUGCAGUAUCAGCCACAAAGAGCAAGAAUCCUUUUCUUUCUUUAGACCCAAACUACAGCAGGACAAUUAACAUAUUCCAUAGGCUACAAAUGAGAAAUAAUCACAUUUCUUAUAAUGCCAGCUAGAAGGCUCCCUCCCUUGUUUUUCCUCUGCUAGCCUUGCAAAUUUCUUACACUUGGUAUUUACUGUGGCCAAACCUAAUUCAUUCAUUUAUGAAGCUAUCUCAGGCACCAGCAGAAGUCAUAAACUAUUCAUCUCGGGAAUGUUUAUAUUUGAGAAGGUCACAGUAUUGAGUGUGUGUAUACUCCAAGGCCCCCUCUCUUUGUUUCAGCCCCUCGUGGCUUGGGCAUGCUAUUUUCCUUUAAACAGUGAAAUGAGAUGUACACAGCUCAAAAUACAUAUUGGUGUUUUCCCAUAAGCUCCAGAGAACUCCUAAUAAAAGAGGCUUGGACCCGC